rnacentral:rRNA from 1 species
GGUUUACCUGUGUGACUGCGUACCUUUUGUAUAAUGGGUCAGCGACUUAUAUUCUGUAGCAAGGUUAACCGUAUAGGGGAGCCGGAGGGAAACCGAGUCUUAACCGGGCGUUAAGUUGCAGGGUAUAGACCCGAAACCCGGUGAUCUAGCCAUGGGCAGGUUGAAGGUUGGGUAACACUAACUGGAGGACCGAACCGACUAAUGUUGAAAAAUUAGCGGAUGACCUGUGGCUGGGGGUGAAAGGCCAAUCAAACCGGGAGAUAGCUGGUUCUCCCCGAAAGCUAUUUAGGUAGCGCCUCGUGAACUCAUCUCCGGGGGUAGAGCACUGUUUCGGCUAGGGGGCCAUCCCGGCUUACCAACCCGAUGCAAACUGCGAAUACCGGAGAAUGUUAUCACGGGAGACACACGGCGGGUGCUAACGUCCGUCGUGAAGAGGGAAACAACCCAGACCGCCAGCUAAGGUCCCAAAGUCAUGGUUAAGUGGGAAACGAUGUGGGAAGGCCCAGACAGCCAGGAUGUUGGCUUAGAAGCAGCCAUCAUUUAAAGAAAGCGUAAUAGCUCACUGGUCGAGUCGGCCUGCGCGGAAGAUGUAACGGGGCUAAACCAUGCACCGAAGCUGCGGCAGCGACACUCAGGUGUUGUUGGGUAGGGGAGCGUUCUGUAAGCCUGUGAAGGUGUGUCGUGAGGCAUGCUGGAGGUAUCAGAAGUGCGAAUGCUGACAUAAGUAACGAUAAAGCGGGUGAAAAGCCCGCUCGCCGGAAGACCAAGGGUUCCUGUCCAACGUUAAUCGGGGCAGGGUGAGUCGACCCCUAAGGCGAGGCCGAAAGGCGUAGUCGAUGGGAAACGGGUUAAUAUUCCCGUACUUGGUGUUACUGCGAAGGGGGGACGGAGAAGGCUAUGUUGGCCGGGCGACGGUUGUCCCGGUUUAAGCGUGUAGGUGUGUGUUCCAGGUAAAUCCGGUCCACUUUAACACUGAGGCGUGAUGACGAGGCACUACGGUGCUGAAGCAACAAAUGCCCUGCUUCCAGGAAAAGCCUCUAAGCAUCAGGUAACAUCAAAUCGUACCCCAAACCGACACAGGUGGUCAGGUAGAGAAUACCAAGGCGCUUGAGAGAACUCGGGUGAAGGAACUAGGCAAAAUGGUGCCGUAACUUCGGGAGAAGGCACGCUGACACGUAGGUGAAGUGAUUUACUCA